AGGGAGCUCCUCUAUCUCCUUUUCUAUUUGUACUCUGUACUGAAGGCUUAAUCAACUUGAUUGAAAGAGCUGUGGCGGAAGAUAGGAUUCAAGGCAUACAAUUCACAUCAAAUGGCCUGAUGAUCCAUCACAUGCUAUUUGCUGAUGAUAGUCUACUGAUAUGUAGAGAUUCUGCUGCGCAAGCGGUUGAACUGAUGAAAGUCCUAAAGGUCUAUGAGCAGGCUAUAGGACAGAAGGUGAACCUUGAGAAAUCGGCUAUCACCUUUGGUAUAAGGUGAAAGAGGAUGUGAAAGCUGCGAUUCAAUGGAUUACUGAGAUUGUAAAAGAAGGAGGAACGGGUUGGUAUCUGGGAUCACCUGAAUGUUUCAGUGGUUCUAAAAUGGAAAUGAUGGCCUACAUAUACGACAGACUUAAGUCAAGGCUUUCUGGAUGGUUCAUGAAACAACUAUCUCUAGGGGGAAAAAGAAGUAUUGAUCAAAGCGGUCGCCAUGGCUAUGCAUGUGUACGCUAUGUCAUGCUUUAAGCUGACAAAGAAAUCAUGCAAGAAUCUCACAAAAGCAAUGGCUGACAUCUGGUGGAAUUCAUUGGAGCACAAACAAAAAAUGCAUUGGCUUAGCUGGUUUACACUCUGCCUUGCUAAGGAACAUAGAGGUCUAGGGUUUAAAGAUAUCCAAAGCUUCAAUCAAGCUCUUUUGGCCAAACAAGCAUGGAGGAUCCUCAAUCAUCCUGAAUCCUUGUUUGCAAGAUUCUUUAAGAGUAGGUACUUCAAAAAGUCAGACUUCCUAAACGCUAAAAAUGGCUCUAGGCCAUCGUAUGGAUGGAGAAGUAUUCAGUUCGGAAAGGAGUUGUUAAGUCAGGGGUUGAGAAAAAAUAUUGGUGAUGGCUCGACGGUUUCAGUUUGGGUGGACGCUUGGAUAGAAGGAGAUGUGAGAAGAAGACCGUUGAUAAAAAAUAUAUUUGUUGACUUGCUGCUUACGGUUGAUCAACUAGUUGAUUCUCAAAAUAAAUGUUGGAACAUCGAAAAACUGGAAGAGCUGUUUUAUGAGGAAGAUAUCAACAGAAUUCUGGCGAUGAAUACUGCGUUUGAUCAACAAGACUACUGGGUCUGGUUACAUAACAAAAAUGGUAGCUAUUCAGUCAAGUCGGGUAUUGGUUCAUCAACAAACCGAACAGAGAAGAGGAGAUCAGAAUAGCAGAAGUGAGACCCUCGUUGAAUGAAUUGAAAGAUGAAGUUUGGAAAAUGGCCACUGUCCCUAAGAUCAAGACUUUUAUAUGGGGAGCAAUCAGUAAUGCAAUCCCUGUUGGUGAGCUGCCGGUCAAAAGAGGAAUUAAUUUGGAUCCAGUGUGCCAAGCUUAUGGGUUUCAGGGCGAAUCUAUCAAUCACAUCAUUUUUGGAUGUUCUAUAGCAAGACUAGUGUGGGCCUUAGCCAAUGUCACUCUUCCUCAAUUUGGUUUUGACAGUAUCUCGCAUUACUCUAAUUUCCACUGUCUGUUCUUGGUGAUGAAGAAUAGAGCAAUCGAGGAGAGAGUUAGAAAUACCAUUCCAUGGAUAGUGUGGUAUUUAUGGAAAUAUAGAAACAAGGUGAUCUUUGAAGGAAAAAGUACUCUCUGAUGGAACUAAUGUCGAAAAUAAAGGAAGAGACAGACUUUUGGUUUUUGGCUCAACGAAAUGAGUCAAGGAGAAAGAAGGAAGAACAUGAGGCAAAGAUGGAAGUUAUAAAAUCUUAGUUCGUUCCUCCGCGUGGUUGGCUAAAAUGCAAUGUUGGAAUAGCUUGGAACAAGAAUCAAGCUAGAAGUGGAGCUUCAUGGGUGGUAAGGGAUGAUCGUGGAAAGGUUCAAAUGCACAGUCGGAGAGCCUUCUCGGACACGAACUCUCUUCAGGACGCAAACUAUAAUGGUCUCGUUUGGGCUUUGGACCGUUGCCAUGCACAUCAUCUAAACAGAGUGAUCUUGGCGAUAGAUGAUGCAACACUACCUAAUGUGAUCCUCAGAACAAAAGCAUGGCCGAACUUUAGGUGUCAGUAUGCAGAGAUCAUGACUAGACUAAAGAAAUUAGAGUGGUGGAGGAUGAUGAAGGAAGAUAGAUCAACUAAUACAUGGGCUUUCCUCGUAGCUCAAAGUGUCAUCAGAGGGGGUUAUUAUCAAUCAUAUGUUGCAAAGGGCGCCCCGCUUUGGUUGCGUGAUUUUUUGAAGGUGAGGAAGUCAUUCCCUGUGUGUAGUUGGUUCCUUAAGCUGAUGGCUGAAAAUGUUUGUUGUUUUUUGGGUGAAGUUCAUUGGUUGGCUUUAUGUUGAUCUUCAUGAUAGCUCAUAUUUUUUGGAAAGGAGCUUAGUCCUUGUAGGCUUGGUUGUUGUUGGGUCUAAUUGUAGGUUCCUUCGUGUUUUGUAACUAUCUUAUGACCUGCUAUGGUCUUUGAUUGAAAUUUACAAAUGACGAAAAAAAAAACAAUUGAAAAUAUUAAAAUUUAAAACAGUUUACGUCUUCUCCACUUAAAACAAAAAGAAAGCAAACUAAUUAUUUUAACUGCCUCUACCAGGCCACGAUCUCCACUCCCUACGUUAAAAUCAACUUUAGAUGAACAAAUAGAAUCACUUUGUUAACAAAUAUGCGAACAAAAUUAAUUCAAACAGUUCUUCAAAAAGUAAUUGAUGCAUUCAUCGUCCUUCCUAUAACUUGAUUUUUCUGAUCACAAAUGAUUCUGUACAUUCUUGAGAUUAACCCAUCUCACCUAAGAAUAUUUGGAAUACACCACAACAGUGUCAGUAUAUUCUUGAGACUAACCCAUUUUUUCUCUAUUCUUGUCAAAUGAUUCUUGUAAUGGUCGUGGCUAAGUUUACCACAUGCUUUUUUUUUUGUCAUCAAGUUUACCACAUGUUAUAUUGGUACAUAAACAAGUUAGAAAAAUAAACAUUAAUGUGUAGAGAAUCGACUUUGGCUGUUCUUGUAAUAAGUAAAUCGAUACACCAAUAUGUUUGGCGAGUUCUCUCCAAACCGGAGACGAACUCUAUAUCACUAUGAAUCGAAAACGUUACAAGCUUCGCACUAGUUGCGUGUUCUAUGCUUUAGAGAGUUUAUAUGUUUCUGUAUCUAACAAUGAGAACCUAGACCUCUAUUUAUACAAAAUAGAUCGUAGGUUUUCCUAGAUGAAAAAAGAUUGUAUUAUUCCUAAUACUAUAAGGAAAUAGUUUCCUUAUUGAACCUACACUAAUCCAUAUCUCUUAUGUCUUGUUUCAGGUCCUUCCCGAAGCCCACCAGCAGGCCCAAGAGACACAAAGCCUCACAUUCUCCACCUUGGCUCUUGAGUCACUCCUCGAUUUCUCCGCUUCUCCAUCUCUCUCUCUCUGCGAAAAUGAAAACCGAAGCACCGACGAGCUCGCUGCCUCGUCUUCUUCAAGCUUCGUCUGUUCCUCGACGUCGCUUCACCGGAGUGGCAUGCCCUCUCCGAUCCUUGCUUCUCUUCUUUUCUCUGAACACUUCCUCUCUUCGAUUCUCCGUGAACCAGACAAGAUCCUGACUUUACCGCCGCUUGUCUUCACCGGCGUUGGCUCUCACCGCCUCCACCAUGAUAAUCUCAGGUUUCAUUUGUUUUAUUUGUCUGUUUCCUUAGACAAUUUUAAACAAACCCUAACCUUUGAUUUCUCAAUUUUCCAGCUUGUCCCUUGAUGAAAUCAAUAAAAAAUCCCUUGAGUCUUCGUGUUCUUCCGGUGAAUCCUACACCACACGACCUUCAUACGGACCAAAUCAGACACGUCAAAUUUCAAAAGCUUAUGGUGUUGACGUCUCUUCACCACUUCACUUCCAUUAGCUUUGUUGUAGACGUUUCCUUGCUACAGCCAC